UUAAUAUUUAUUUUUAACUGAAGGUACUGCUACUGCAAAGGGGUUUUCAAUGUCCUAACGGCGGGCAAGCCCGCCGAGGAAACAACGGUGCUCAUAAACAAAGGGUGCUAUCUCAAUGGGCUGUUUCCAGCCCACGGUAAUGAUCCUUCCGCAGGUUCACCUACGGAAA
rnacentral:misc_RNA from 1 species